rnacentral:rRNA from 1 species
GAUGAACGCUGGCGGCGUGCUUAACACAUGCAAGUCGAGCGAAGCAGUUAAGUUGAUUUCUUCGGAUUGAUUCUUGACUGACUGAGCGGCGGACGGGUGAGUAACGCGUGGGUGACCUGCCCCAUACCGGGGGAUAACAGCUGGAAACGGCUGCUAAUACCGCAUAAGCGCACAGAGCUGCAUGGCUCGGUGUGAAAAACUCCGGUGGUAUGGGAUGGGCCCGCGUCUGAUUAGGCAGUUGGCGGGGUAACGGCCCACCAAACCGACGAUCAGUAGCCGGCCUGAGAGGGCGACCGGCCACAUUGGGACUGAGACACGGCCCAAACUCCUACGGGAGGCAGCAGUGGGGAAUAUUGCACAAUGGGGGAAACCCUGAUGCAGCGACGCCGCGUGAGCGAAGAAGUAUUUCGGUAUGUAAAGCUCUAUCAGCAGGGAAGAUAAUGACGG